rnacentral:rRNA from 1 species
UACGGGGGGGGGCAAGCGUUGUUCGGAAUUACUGGGCGUAAAGGGCUCGUAGGCGGCCAACUAAGUCGGAUGUGAAAUCCCCAAGCUUAACUUGGGAACUGCAUCCGAUACUGGAUGGCUUGAAUCCGGGAGAGGGAUGCAGAAUUCCAGGUGUAGCGGUGAAAUGCGUAGAUAUCUGGAGGAAUACCGGUGGCGAAGGCGGCAUCCUGGACCGGCAUUGACGCUGAGGAGCGAAAGCUGAGGGGAGCAAACGGG